rnacentral:rRNA from 1 species
GGGCCCCGGGGCGCAGCAGUGGGGAAUAUUGCGCAAUGGGCGAAAGCCUGACGCAGCGACGCCGCGUGAGGGAUGAAGGUCUUCGGAUCGUAAACCUCUGUCAGCAGGGAAGAACGGUCACUGUGCUAAUCAGCAGUGAAUUGACGGUACCUGCAAAGGAAGCACCGGCUGACUCCGUGCCAGCAGCCGCGGUAAUACGGAGGGUGCGAGCGUUAAUCGGAAUUACUGGGCGUAAAGCGCUCGUCGGCGGGAUGUCAAGUCAAGGGGGAAAUCCCCGCGCUCAAAG